rnacentral:rRNA from 1 species
UACAGAGGGGGCAAGCGUUGUUCGGAAUUACUGGGCGUAAAGGGCGCGUAGGCGGCCCGCUAAGUCGAACGUGAAAUCCCCAGGCUUAACCUGGGAACUGCGUCCGAUACUGGCAGGCUUGAAUCCGGGAGAGGGAUGUGGAAUUCCAGGUGUAGCGGUGAAAUGCGUAGAUAUCUGGAGGAACACCGGUGGCGAAGGCGACAUCCUGGACCGGUAUUGACGCUGAGGCGCGAAAGCCAGGGGAGCAAACGGG